GGAUAAUGCGAAAAAAAGAGCGGAGAAAAAAACGGCGAAGGGGAAAAGGGCGAAGGAAAAACGGGCGAAGGGGAAAAGGGCGAAGGAAAAAUAUGCUUUAUUUUUCCUUCGCCCUUUUCCCCUUCGCCGUUUUUUCUCCGCUUUUUUUUCCGCAUUUAUUUCUUAAAAUAUCCU